rnacentral:rRNA from 1 species
UACGGAGGGUGCAAGCGUUAUCCGGAUUCACUGGGUUUAAAGGGUGUGUAGGCGGACUUUUAAGUCAGUGGUGAAAUCUCCAGGCUCAACCUGGAAACUGCCAUUGAUACUAUUAGUCUUGAAUAUUGUUGAGGUAGGCGGAAUAUGUCAUGUAGCGGUGAAAUGCUUAGAUAUGACAUAGAACACCGAUUGCGAAGGCAGCUUGCUAAACAAUUAUUGACGCUGAGGCACGAAAGCGUGGGGAUCAAACAGG